UCAUUUCAUAUCAUCAAAGAUUCAAGGUCAAAAUAUAACCAUACUCAUAAAACAAAACUCUCAACAAAAUCCUAUCUUGAAAGGUUAACAAUAUCCUAGAUAAGAGUCAGGGGCACUUCACAAUUGCCUCAUAAACUAUCUAGGAAAGAAGGAAUUUAUAUUGGAGGGGCAGGCAGUCCAUCAUUGCCCAAGAUAUGAACCAGAGAAGAUGGAGUUCGAACAACCUAGUCUGCUAUGCUCAUCUCCUUCUUGUAGUAGGAAGCAACCCAGUCAGCUGCCUGGUUAGCAGAUCUUCUGAUCAGUUGGAUUCCCACAUGUGGAAUCUAUUUGAUCAACCUAUCUAACAUGAUAAUGAUAGGCCAUAGUUUCCAUCUAUGCUUCCCUUUCUUCUUCACAAGCUCAUUAUGCACAAUUUGAGAAUUAGUUUCCAUUAUGAUCUUUUCGAAGUUCCUUUUCUUAGCAAAUUCAACACCCAAUUUUAAUUUCAAUGCUUCAGUCAUUUUUGGAGAAUCAGAGACAGUACUCAAAGAUGUGCUAUCAACCAAUGUCCCUAUACUAUCUCGAACAAUAACCCCAAGUCCAGCUUUCCCUAUCUUAAUAUCAAAAGCCCUAUCACAGUUAAGUUUCAGCCAAUGUUCCUCAAGUUUCUCCUAUGUGACCUCAAUUGAGUUAGCCAUUGACAGUCUGGUCUGACCCUCAUUUCCUUCUCUACAAUCCAUCAUCGCCUUAGGCGCAAUUUGUUUCUUUCUUAUAGUCUUCCAAAUUACAAUCUAUUUCCCUUGCAUAACUCUUUCACACCUCAUUUUCCAUAUAUACCAAGUUGCAUAGCAAAUUCUAACCAAUUAAUCAUCUCUCUGAAUCUCUAAUCUUUCUUUGUUUCCAGCAGUAGAAAGCAGCUAACAAUCAAAGGUGCUAAUGUUUUCCCCAGAAAUUUGUAGACCAUAUACAGCUUCAAACCAAAUCACACUUACCCAGUCACAUCCAAAAAGAUGCUUAAUAGUUUCAUCAUGCCGCUGGCAUAUCUCAGAUGUUGGUUUAGGGAUACAUUUCCUUUUCCAAAGUCCCACUUGAAGGCAAGGUGUUAUGACUCGAUUUUUAUAGGUGCCGGAAAAUGCGGUUUUGAAAUCUCAUUUCCGUAAAUCGAACCCGUAAUGAUGAAAUAUAAAAAUUAAUGAAGUUAAUAUGAAAAUAUAUUAAAGUUCAGUUAAAUAAUUUAACCAAGAAAAUUAGUUAAUUAAAUCUCAAUGAUUAAAUUGUAAAUGAUUAUUUAACCAUUUUUCAACAUGAAUUAGUGGAUGAUGAUUGUUAAUUCCACUUAGUUUAAUUAAUAACAAAUUAAGUAUUAUAAUGCUUAAUUAACUAAUUAAACAAAGUUAAUUAAGGAAAAGAAAGAGAAAAUUCACUUCAUCUUCUUCCUUGCUGUCCAAAAAGAAAGAAAAAGAAAGGAGAAAACUCUAUUUGAAAGCUUGCAUUCGGCCAAGCAAAUAACAUAGGUAACAAAGCUAAUUUCAUGAAUUUUUUUUAGAUUUAUGAUCAUGGGAGUUUGAUUUAGCUAACUCGUGUAUCAAUUUGUUCAAUUGUUAAGUUUCUAGCAAGUUGCCAUUAGAGAGAAAUUGAUGAAGUAGGCUUGAAUUUGUUAGUUAAUAAGCUUAGAUCAUGAUAAGGACUAAAUUGAAAAUUAAAUUAAGCUUGUUUGAUAACUUUGUAACAUUAGAGACUAAAUUGAAUAAAUCAGAAACUAUCAUGAGAUUAUGCUAUAGAUGAAAAAUAUAGGGUCCCUAACAAAAAUGUGAAACCGAAUUUUGAUCUGAUGCUAGAUAUCAAAAAAUAUACAUAUUUCGAGUAUAGGGACUAAAUUGAAUAAAAUGUAAAAUAUGAGUGUCUAUGUAUUUGGAUGUGAAUUGAGUGUAAACUAAUAAUGUUUUUAGUAUUGAAUUAUCAAACGUAGCUAAAGACGACAUCAAGUCGUAUCGGAGAAGGGAAAGUUGAGAGUUGUUGUCAAGUAGCGGGCAAUAUCGGUUUAUACUUUUAUGAUUCAAGAUCAUUAUAUUUAUAUGCAUAUACAUGUUGAUUGCAUGAUUAACUAUCGAGGUAAGCUUAUGCUUGUUGUACGAAUUGAUUGGUGUUGAACGAUAAUGUGUUAAGAACUGAGUUGAGUUGUGCAUAACAUAAUUGAAUAUGAUAUGAAAUUGAUUAUGGCAUAUUAUGUGAAUUGAUGAUGAAAUGAAAUGAGAUACAAUAUGUGAAUUAGUUAUAUCAUGUAAUUCGAUCAUUGGUACUCUAUUAAAUGUUCGAUCAGUGUCAGAUAUAGUUAGCAUGUCAUAGGAUUAGAUUGUGUUCAAGUUAUACUUUGGUUAUACGUCGAUAAGCACUGGGCGCAUUUUACUUCGAAUGUUCCGAUGAGUGUUGAGCACACUUUUACUUCGGUUAUACCAAUGAGUGUUUGGCACAAUGUAUACUUCAGACGUUCUGAUGAGGCACUAGGUGUCAGAUUGGUGUGUUGGCCGGAUGAUCCACGUAUCUAUCCCGAGUCUGAGUUAGGUUAAUAGGGAUUAUAAAAUAUGAACUUGAUAAAUGAUAGUGAAUUGAGAUGAUACCAAUGAGUGUUUGGCACAAUGUAUACUUCAGACGUUCUGAUGAGGCACUAGGUGUCAGAUUGGUGUGUUGGCCGGAUGAUCCACGUAUCUAUCCCGAGUCUGAGUUAGGUUAAUAGGGAUUAUAAAAUAUGAACUUGAUAAAUGAUAGUGAAUUGAGAUGAUAAUAUGAAACAGUACCAUAUGUGUAUAAAUGUGAAAUGUGACUAAAGAUAGCAUGUGAAAGAUCAUGUGAUCCGGUUAUAAACGAGCCCGGGGGCCAAAUCAAACAUAAACGAGUCAACAGACUUGAGAGAGAUAAUUGAAUCGUGAAAUGAAAGAUUAGAUGACAUUGGUUGAAAAUGAGAAUUGAGUACAUAUUUUAGAUGUGUGUGUGUAUAUAUAUGUGUGUGAAAUUGAAAUGGAAUUGAUUGUAUCUUUGUUAAUAGAAAGUAUGGUAAAGAAUGUUUCAAUUGAUUAUCAAAUAAGCUAGUGUAUGAGAUUGACAUUUGAGUAAUGAACAUGUAAAUUGACAUGGUUGAAUCAUAGCAUUGAACUUUUAUUGUGAUUAUACUCAUUUUAUGACUUGAAUCAUGAAAGUACCACUGAGCUUUUUCACCCAACGUAUAGUUUGUUUAUUCUGAUUAUGCUCAUUUUCUUGACUUAAUU
rnacentral:lncRNA from 1 species